AGUGCCUUUGCCGCUCUGAACUUAGAAGAGAUUCGAGCUUUUUGUUCAGCCGUUAAUACGCCACCACUAUCAUCAACCACAUUCUCCUUGUUCUUUACUGCUUCACUCAUAUUUCUACCUCUUUCUCUUUCUCUUUCUCUUUCUCUAGGUUAUGGAAGGAGAGUGAGAAUCUUGCUAGUUUUCUGAGCCUUCCCAACUCUAGGACAAGAAUAACAGAUACAUCAAAACAUUAAAUUUACUCUCGAAGCAUGUAAUGAACAACAAAUAGGCAUACAAAAAAGAGACAAUAAUUUCCAGAUCAACUUAAAUUGUUGGAACUUUUUUUUCCCAAUGUCAAUAUAUCUCACAAAAUUCAAAAUUAGAAGAAACAAGUGCAUUCGAAUUGAGUAAUCACAUAUCAAAAUAAUUUCAUAACUAAGGGGAAGAAUAGGACUCUUUAUCUAAGUUGCGAGGACUCUUCACUUUUGAUGCCGCAUCCAUGUCAGAUUCUCCAAAAAUACACUACUUUUGGCGAAUCCGAACGCAUUUUCGAAGAGUCUGAGCAACAUAGCUCUUUAUCAUUAUCAAAAUUCAUAGCCUUUUGAAGGGAAAUGGAACUUAAGAUCACGGAAUGAACGAACUUAUGAGUGGAAUCUUGUACACAGGCAAAUUACUAGGGAGGAAAAACUUUUUUCCAAUUGAGAUGUUGUGAAUUCUAUGCACAAAUUUGGUCAGUGCAAAUUGUAAUCCUAGCUUAUAAGACAGAGAUACAUGAUUAGCACAUAAAAUUGGGUGUAGGAGGUAAUGAUGGGUUCCGAAAUUUUUGAUUUUCAAAUGGACAGUUUCUAAAGAGGAUUCUUCGUGGUCUUAGCGGUCUCGUUUAAGGAACUUCAGAUGUAGUGCGAUUUCACUUUUGUGCAAACAUCAGAUUCCCCAAAUACUUACUUUUCUUUAGUUCCCCUUUUCUAAUUGAACCCUAAAAUAUAAAUAUAGCUAAUGUGUCUAUUUUAUAGGUGAAUAAAUUAUCGUGAAAAAACAAUAAAUUUGAAAUAAAAGAAAAGAAAAGGCGUACUUAUUGAGAGAUAAUUGGGGGCAAUGCUGGAGUAGUCUUUUGCGAGCAAGAAGUGCCUUUGCCGCUCUGAACUUAGAAGAGAUUCGAGCUUUUUGUUCAGCCGUUAAUACGCCACCACUAUCAUCAACCACAUUCUCCUUGUUCUUUACUGCUUCACUUAUAUUUCUACCUCUUUCUCUUUCUCUUUCUCUAGGUUAUGGAAGGAGAGUGGGAAUCUUGCUAGUUUUUUCUUGACUGUGUUGUGCUCUAAUAUUCCCUUCAGAAAGGAGGAUUUUUCAAAUUAUGGGCUGAUUUGACCCAGCCUACUUCUAUUGGACUAACUUUGAGUCUGGCAC
rnacentral:lncRNA from 1 species